GACGAACGCUGGCGGCGUGCCUAAUACAUGCAAGUUGAGCGCUGAAGGUUGGUACUUGUACCAACUGGAUGAGCAGCGAACGGGUGAGUAACGCGUGGGGAAUCUGCCUUUGAGCAGGGGACAACAUUUGGAAACGAAUGCUAAUACCGCAUAAAAACUUUAAACACAAGUUUUAAGUUUGAAAGAUGCAAUUGCAUCACUCAAAGAUGAUCCCGCGUUGUAUUAGCUAGUUGGUGAGGUAAAGGCUCACCAAGGCGAUGAUACAUAGCCGACCUGAGAGGGUGAUCGGCCACAUUGGGACUGAGACACGGCCCAAACUCCUACGGGAGGCAGCAGUAGGGAAUCGUCGGCAAUGGACGAAAGUCUGACCGAGCAACGCCGCGUGAGUGAAGAAGGUUUUCGGAUCGUAAAACUCUGUUGGUAGAGAAGAACGUUGGUGAGAGUGGAAAGCUCACCAAGUGACGGUAACUACCCAGAGAGGGACGGCUAACUACGUG
rnacentral:rRNA from 1 species